rnacentral:lncRNA from 13 species
AUGACAUCACCUGGUUUAAACAUCUCUAGAGACUAUAUCUCUCUCAUCAUUACUCAAUGCCUAGGUUUACCUCCAAUGUACUCACAUCCUACCUUACCUUUGUCUGUACACUAUGCCUUGAAUCUAUGCUAUCAUGCCCAGAAACCUGCUCCUUUUACUCUCUGUUCCGAACGUGCUAGACCAGUUCGUAUAGCAUUUAGCCGUACCCUUAUCCUACUUCUCCUCUGUUCCUCUGGUGAUGUGGAGGUUAAUCCAGGUCCUGCAGUGCCUAGCUACACUCCCACCCUCCAGGUGCUCUCAUUUGUUGACUUCGGUAAACGUAAAAGCCUUGGUUUCAUGCAUGUUAACAUUAGAAGCCUACACCCUAAGUUUGUUUUACUCACUGCUUUAGCACACUCUGCCAACCCAGAUGUCUUAGCCGUGUCUGAAUCCUGGCUUAGGAAAACCACCAAAAACCCUGAAAUCUCCAUCGCUAACUAUAACGUUUUCCGCCAAGAUAGAACUGCCAAAGGGGGUGGUGUUGCAAUCUACUGCAAAGAUAUACAGAACUCUGCAGGCUUACUAUCUAAGUCUGUACCCAAACAAUUUGAGCUUCUACUUCUAAAAAUUCACCUUUCCAGAAACAAGUCUCUCACUGUUGCUGCUUGCUAUAGACCUCCCUCUGCCCCCAGCUGUGCCCUCGAUACCAUAUGUGAAUUGAUUGCACCCCAUCUAUCUUCUGAGUUCGUGCUACUAGGUGACCUAAACUGGGACAUGAUUAACACCCCGGCCAUCCUACAAUCUAAGCUUGAUGCCCUCAAUCUCACACAAAUUAUCAAUGAACCUACCAGGUACAACCCCAAAUCAGUAAACAUGGGCACCCUCGUAGAUGUCAUCCUAACUAACUCGCCCUCCAAAUACACCUCUGCUGUUUUCAAUCAAGAUCUCAGCGAUCACUGCCUCAUUGCCUGCAUCCGUAAUGGGUCUGCGACCAAACGACCACCCCUCAUCACUGUCAAACGCUCCCUGAAACACUUCUGCGAGCAGGCCUUUCUAAUCGACCUGGCCGGGGUAUCCUGUAAGCAUCUCCAGUCCAAAAUUAAAUCUAGAAUCGGCUUCCUAUAUCGCAACAAAGCAUCCUUCACUCAUGCUGCCAAACAUUCCCUCGUAAAACUGACCAUCCUACCGAUCCUCGACUUCGGUGAUGUCAUCUAUAAAAUAGCCUCCAACACUCUACUCAACAAACUGGAUGCAGUCUGUCACAGUGCCAUCCGUUUUGUCACCAAAGCCCCAUACACUACCCACCAUUGCGACCUGUACACUCUCGUUGGUUGGCCCUCGCUUCAUACUCGUUGCCAAACCCACUGGCUACAGGUCAUCUACAAGUCUCUGCUAGGUAAAGCCCCGCCUUAUCUCAGCUCACUGGUCACCAUAGCAGCACCCACUCGUAGCACGCGCUCCAGCAGGAAUAUCUCACUGGUCACCCCAAAGCCAAUUCCUCCUUUGGUCGUCUUUCCUUCCAGUUCUCUGCUGCCCAUGACUGGAACGAAUUGCAAAAAUCUCAGAAGCUGGAGACUCACAUUUCCCUCACUAGCUUUAAGCACCAGCUGUCAGAGCAGCUUACAGAUCACUGCACCUGUACAUAGCCCAUCUGUAAACAGCCCAUCUAUCUACCUACCUCAUCCCCAUACUGUUAUUUAUUUAUUUAUUUUGCUCCUUUGCACCCCAGUAUCUCUACCUGCACAUUCAUCUUCUGCCAAUCUACCAUUCCAGUGUUUAAUUCCUAUAUUGCAAUUACUUCGCCACCAUAGCCUAUUUAUUUCCUUAACUUACCUCAUUUGCACUCACUGUAUAUAG